CACGUAGUUAGCCGGCGCUUUUUCUGCAGGUACCGUCAAUUUCUCUUCUUCCCUGCUAACAGAGGUUUACAACCCGAAGGCCGUCAUCCCUCACGCGGCGUCGCUGCAUCAGGCUUGCGCCCAUUGUGCAAUAUUCCCCACUGCUGCCUCCCGUAGGAGUCUGGGCCGUGUCUCAGUCCCAGUGUGGCCGGUCACCCUCUCAGGCCGGCUACCCGUCGUCGCCUUGGUGAGCCGUUACCUCACCAACAAGCUGAUAGGCCGUGAGCCCAUCUAUAACCACUACAUAACGCUUUCCACCAACACCCCAUGCGGAGAUUGGUCGUAUCCGGUAUUAGACCCAGUUUCCCAGGCUUAUCCCAGAGUUAAAGGUAGGUUACUCACGUAUUACUCACCGUUCGCCACUAAUCCACCUAGCAAGCUAGGCUUCAUCGUUCGACUUGCAUGUGUUAAGCACGCCGCCAGCCGUUCGUCCUGUAGCCGAGGAUACGAAACUACU
rnacentral:rRNA from 1 species